AGUGAACGCUGGCGGCAGGCCUAACACAUGCAAGUCGAGCGGCAGCGGGUUCCCGCGAGGGGAUGCCGGCGAGCGGCGGACGGGUGAGGAACACAUCGGAAUCUGCCUGGUUGUGGGGGAUAACGUAGGGAAACUUACGCUAAUACCGCAUGCGACCCUGAGUCGACGGACUGGGGGGUGAAAGUGAGGGACCUUCGGGCCUCACGCGACCAGAUGAGCCGA
rnacentral:rRNA from 1 species